UACGGAAGGCAGCAGUGGGGAAUAUUGCACAAUGGGCGAAAGCCUGAUGCAGCUAUGCCGCGUGUAUGAAGAAGGCCUUAGGGUUGUAAAGUACUUUCAUCGGGGAGGAAAAAACAAAACUAAUAAUUUUAUUUCUUGACGUUACCCGAAAAAGAAGCACCGGCUAACUCCGUGCCAGCAGCCGCGGUAAUACGGAGGGUGCUAGCGUUAAUCAGAAUUACUGGGCGUAAAGAGCACGUAGGUGGUUUUUUUAAGUUAGAUGUGAAAUCCCUGGGCUUAACCUGGAACUGCAUUUUGAAACUGAAAUACUAGAGUAUCGUAGAGGGAGGUAGAAUUCUAGGUGUAGCGGUGAAAUGCGUAGAUAUCUGGAGGAAUACCUGUGGCGAAAGCGGCCUCCUAAACGAAUACUGACACUGAGGUGCGAAAGCGUGGGGAGCAAACAGGGAUUAGAUACC
rnacentral:rRNA from 1 species